CUACGGAGGGUGCGAGCGUUAAUCGGAAUUACUGGGCGUAAAGCGUACGUAGGCGGUUGGUUAAGUUAGAUGUGAAAGCCCCGGGCUUAACCUGGGAACUGCAUUUAAAACUGGCGAACUAGAGUUGAGUAGAGGGGAGUGGAAUUUCAGGUGUAGCGGUGAAAUGCGUAGAGAUCUGAAGGAACACCAGUGGCGAAGGCGACUCCCUGGACUCGAACUGACGCUGAGGUACGAAAGCGUGGGUAGCAAACGGGAUUAGAAACCCUGUAGUCC
rnacentral:rRNA from 1 species